CCUACGGGUGGCAGCAGUGAGGAAUAUUGGUCAAUGGACGAGAGUCUGAACCAGCCAAGUAGCGUGAAGGAUGACUGCCCUAUGGGUUGUAAACUUCUUUUAUAAAGGAAUAAAACGAGGCACGUGUGCCUUUUUGCAUGUACUUUAUGAAUAAGGAACGGCUAACUCCGUGCCAGCAGCCGCGGUAAUACGGAGGAUCCGAGCGUUAUCCGGAUUUAUUGGGUGUAAAGGGAGCGUAGAUGGGUUGUUAAGUCAGUUGUGAAAGUUUGCGGCUCAACCGUAAAAUUGCAAUUGAUACUGGCAGUCUUGAGUACAGUUGAGGUAGGCGGAAUUCGUGGUGUAGCGGUGAAAUGCUUAGAUAUCACGAAGAACACCGAUUGCGAAGGCAGCUUACUAAACUGUGACUGACAUUGAUGCUCGAAAGUGUGGGUAGCAAACAGGAUUAGAUACCCCGAUAGUC
rnacentral:rRNA from 1 species